CGAACGCUGGCGGCAGGCCUAAAACAUGCAAGUCGAACGGAUCCUUCGGGGAUUAGUGGCGGACGGGUGAGUAACACGUGGGAACGUGCCUUUGGUUCGGAACAACUCAGGGAAACUUGAGCUAAUACCGAAUGUGCCCUUCGGGGGAAAGAUUUAUCGCCAUUAGAGCGGCCCGCGUCUGAUUAGCUUGUUGGUGAGGUAAAGGCUCACCAAGGCGACGAUCAGUAGCUGGUCUGAGAGGAUGAUCAGCCACACUGGGACUGAGACACGGCCCAGACUCCUACGGGAGGCAGCAGUUAGGAAUCUUGCGCAAUGGGGGAAACCCUGACGCAGCCAUGCCGCGUGAAUGAUGAAGGUCUUAGGAUUGUAAAAUUCUUUCAGCGGGGACGAUAAUGACGGUACCCGCAGAAGAAGCCCCGGCUAACUUCGUG
rnacentral:rRNA from 1 species